UCACCUAGACAUACAGUUGUAAGGUUUGAAAUUCAGAAUUACAAGUCCUCUCACAUUGUUCUUCUUUUUCAAGUACGUUUUGGUUACUGAGACCCUCGAAUUCCCAUAUGAAUUGUAGCAGCAGCUAGUCAGUUUCUGCAGAGGAGCCCGCAGGGAUUGUGAUCGAGACCACGUUGAAUAUACGGAUCGUUCUGGGGAGCACUGCCAUUCCAAGAGCACUGUCUUCUGAUCCAGCAAUGUGCGUGGUUUGUCUGUCCAGGUGCCCUCACCUCCAGUAGCAUCCAUCCAGACACCGGAACUGACACUGGCCGUGCUCAGAACUGCCUCAGCCCUGAAGACACAACUGACAAAUAGAAGGGGGCCACGCCCUGUUACAGCAGGUGCUCUCACUUUGUGGAUCCUUAUGUAACUGAGGGGUGUUAAUCAGGAUUGCCCGUUUUACAUUGUGUGGCGCUGCUGCGGUGUCUCCUAGUUACUUGUUUCUCUCGCUUUAUUCACUCAGGGGUAUAUCAUGGACGUCCUCCCACUCCAGACUCACCCGGCCCUUUCAGAUAGAUUGGAGGGGUCUCCUGAUGUGCGGGUGUCGUCUCUUGUCCACGGACACAUUUGGUGGGAGAUUGCUGUGGACAAGGCCCUGGACCUCGGCGAAACGCCGGCUCCCUCAGUGCCCGCAGCUCGCCUUGAUUUACCGCAUCAUUGUCUUGAUGGUGGACAGUUAAGUUUUCUCUAUUUUCCACUGUCAGAAAGAAUGUUUGAGUUGCAUCCUUCUUGUACAGACAUUCCUGUGAUCUUGUAUGUGUAUUACUUUAGUUAAGGCUUCUGGAAAUUUAGUCCCUGGAUGUGACAUUUACAUUCAUCACAGACUCCUUUCAAGUGACUAGAAAUUCCUUCUCCAUUGGGGAAUGAAAAAAUGCACAAUUACAUAUGUAACCAAUUCUCUAUCGCUGGAUAUGAUUUCACUUCAGUUUUUCUUCCCACCUUUGUAAACAGUGCUGUGUAAAUGCCCUGAUGGGUACAUCUUUUUGGACUGAUUUUUUUUUCCUAAAGGAAACGAUUCCUAGAAGUGGAGUUGAAUCAGUGUGUAUGUACGUUUUUCAGAGCUUACAAAUCCAUUGAUAUGUCAUCCUCUGAAAAAGUCGCUCAUGAUUUGUUCUCCCACAGAUGGACACUAGCUAGAAUAUCUUAAAAAUAUUUGCCAAUAUGAUAAGCAAAAGUGCUUUUUCAUUGUUUUUGUUUGCAUUUGAUGACCAGUGAAGUUUUGAGCAUUUUUCACUCAUUAGCCAUUUGACUUUUUUAAAAUGAAUGAUUCCUUUUGUCCUUUGCCCACAUUUAAGUGAGGGAGCUUCUUUUUGCUUUGUGACAGCUUUUUGUAUGUUAUGAAAAUUAACUUCGUGAAUUCAUCAACAUGUAUCACAGAGCUUUUUCUUGUCAUUUCUUU